rnacentral:misc_RNA from 1 species
GAUGAAGAACGUAGCGAAAUGCGAUAAGUAAUGUGAAUUGCAGAAUUCCGUGAAUCAUCGAAUCUUUGAACGCACAUUGCGCCCCCUGGUAUUCCGGGGGGCAUGCCUGUCCGAGCGUCAUUGCAACCUUCAAGCGCGGCUUGUGUGUUGGGUCUCGUCCCCCGUGGAUGGGCCCGAAAGGCAGUGGCGGCGUCCCGACAUGGUGCCCGAGCGUAUGGGAAUCCUCUUCCGCUCGAAUCGGCCCAUGCGGCGCUGGUCGUAACCAAAUUUUUUACCGGUUGACCUCGGAUCAGGUAGGGAUACCCGCUGAACUUAAGCAUAUCAAUAAGCGGAGGA